rnacentral:rRNA from 1 species
AAUAUUGCACAAUGGGCGGAAGCCUGAUGCAGCGACGCCGCGUGAGGGAUGACGGCCUUCGGGUUGUAAACCUCUUUCAGCAGGGACGAAGCGUAAGUGACGGUACCUGCAGAAGAAGCACCGGCUAACUACGUGCCAGCAGCCGCGGUAAUACGUAGGGUGCGAGCGUUGUCCGGAAUUACUGGGCGUAAAGAGCUCGUAGGCGGUUUGUCACGUCGUCUGUGAAAUCCUAGGGCUUAACCCUGGACGUGCAGGCGAUACGGGCUGACUUGAGUACUACAGGGGAGACUGGAAUUUCUGGUGUAGCGGUGGAAUGCACAGAUAUCAGGAAGAACACCGAUGGCGAAGGCAGGUCUCUGGGUAGUAACUGACGCUGAGGAGCGAAAGCAUGGGUAGCGA